rnacentral:rRNA from 1 species
UACAGGGGGGGCAAGCGUUGUUCGGAAUUACUGGGCGUAAAGGGCUCGUAGGCGGCCAACUAAGUCAGACGUGAAAUCCCACGGCUCACCCGUGGAACUGCUGGGCAUACUGGCGAUCUUGGGCCGUUCAGGGGCGACUGGAACAAGCGGUGGAGCGGUGAAAUGCGUAGAUAUCGCUUGGAACGCCGAAGGUGAAAACAGGUCGCUGGGGACGCGCCGACGCUGAGACACGAAAGCCAGGGGAGCAAACGGG